AACAAAAAUGGGAUAGGUGACGCAGUAUCCUAGUCAGGUAUGCCUUUUUUGAAGACGGGCCUAAAAAUCCGUCGCGGGCACAUCGAUGAAGUUCCUGGUGCUGGCUGCUGACGCCCAGUCGGGGGCUGGUACUGGGAGUUAAGGAGUAAGGGCGAGCCGCAAAGGCAUGCGGGCGUGGACCCUUACUCCGCGGAGACCCAAGUGCGUGGGAAAGCAGAAAUGCCGUACUAUGGCUUGGGGUGUGAACCUGCACGUGGUGAAAGCUGCGUGCAGUGUAGCCUGCCUUGAGUGGCAGCGGUGGAUGUCACCGGUAGCCGUUACCUUAUAACCCCAUGGGCCCAGGGAGAGGUAGCGGCGGACUGAAACCGUUGCUGCAAAAGAGGCUAGAAAAAGGCCAUCCUGUCGAGGAAAACUCCUAGGCUGUCCGGUGAAUACCGGGGCAGUACGGGGAUUGCAGUGUGGUCUAAGUGGUAAUCCAGCCCCGGUUACGGCAACGUCCCGGAGGCAGCCCGAAGGGGGAACCGCCGGCCUGGCGACAGCCGGUGGCUGCCUGGGAAAACCUGCUGGACCUCAAGCCACAACAUUUACCCGUAUUGCUGUCACUUGUCCCGGGGUACCU
rnacentral:sRNA from 2 species